rnacentral:rRNA from 1 species
UACGAAGGGUGCAAGCGUUACUCGGAAUUACUGGGCGUAAAGCGUGCGUAGGUGGUUCGUUAAGUCUGAUGUGAAAGCCCUGGGCUCAACCUGGGAAUGGCAUUGGAAACUGGCGACCUAGAGUGCGGUAGAGGGUAGUGGAAUUCCCGGUGUAGCAGUGAAAUGCGUAGAGAUGUGGAGGAACACCGAUGGCGCAGGCAGCCUCCUGGGCCAGCACUGACGCUCAUGCACGAAAGCGUGGGGAGCAAACAGG